rnacentral:rRNA from 1 species
CAGAGGGUGCGAGCGUUAAUCGGAUUUACUGGGCGUAAAGCGUGCGUAGGCGGCUUUAAGUCGGAUGUGAAAUCCCUGAGCUUAACUUAGGAAUUGCAUUCGAUACUGGGAAGCUAGAGUAUGGGAGAGGAUGGUAGAAUUCCAGGUGUAGCGGUGAAAUGCGUAGAGAUCUGGAGGAAUACCGAUGGCGAAGGCAGCCAUCUGGCCUAAUACUGACGCUGAGGUACGAAAGCAUGGGAGCAAACAGGAUU